rnacentral:rRNA from 1 species
UCAGUAUUCAAUUGUCAGAGGUGAAAUUCUUGGAUUUAUUGAAGACUAACUACUGCGAAAGCAUUUGCCAAGGAUGUUUUCAUUAAUCAGGAACGAAAGUUAGGGGAUCGAAGACGAUCAGAUACCGUCGUAGUCUUAACCAUAAACUAUGCCGACUAGGGAUCGGACGAUGUUACAUUUUUGACGCGUUCGGCACCUUACGAGAAAUCAAAGUGCUUGGGCUCCAGGGGGAGUAUGGUCGCAAGGCUGAAACUUAAAGAAAUUGACGGAAGGGCACCACCAGGGGUGGAGCCUGCGGCUUAAUUUGACUCAACACGG